rnacentral:tRNA from 1 species
GGAAGGAUGCCUGAGUGGCUUAAAGGGCUCGCCUGGAAAGCGGGUGUAUCCUUACGGGUACCGAGAGUUCGAAUCUCUCUCCUUCCGCCA